ensembl:lncRNA
CCGGAGGAGGGCUUUGUCUGCGCCCGGCUCCGCUCCCCCCGCCGCCGCUCCCGCUCCCUCUGCCCGCCCGCUCUCGCUCUCGCUCUCCCUCUCGCUGUGGUUUUUGUAAGGUAGGUUGCAGCGCGUGUGUGUGUACACAACAUCGAGAGCAGGAAAAUGGACUCAUUAGGGAGGCAGGCGGUCGGGAGCGCUCGCGCUGUAGUGCCGGGGAGACGGAGGCUAUGAGGAGGCAAACUGAGGACGGGGGAACAAGCAGCAUAAAGAAGAAGUGUUGAGAGCUGCUCUCAGCCCUUUUGGAGUCCGAAGUCAAAAGGGAACUAGGGGGCUUGACACAUCCCUUGCAUCUUCCAUUUACUCUGACCACAGUCCCUCCCUGUUCUCUCAAGUGGAGCUAAGCCCUGCUUCCCUCCCUCUUGAUUCCCAGACAGCUACAUGAUAUAUAGAGGCAUGUUAUAGAAAUAUGUAUUAAGAAGUCCCUGAGUCCUAGGAGAACAUAUCAAGUUGACUCUGGCUAGAAGCAAACAAAUUACCUUCGUGGUCCUGGUCCUUUGGUUCCACACAAUUAUCAACUAAGCUGAAGGAGAUCUCCCUAUAGCUGUGAGUAGUAAUGAGGCUUUAGCAUUUCUUUUCACAUUGCUGCUAGAGAGUGACCCCUCUCUCUAGAAGGCUCACCUUUUCAUUACAAAGGUGUUACUUCUUUUCUGCAUAUUUAAAGCACCCCUUGUGUUACUGUGCAAUCCCUUCACUGUGGAGUAACAGAAAAUUCAAGCUGACAUAAGUUCCAGCAAGCUUCUUUAACCUUGGAAGUGAAAAGUGGCCAGUGACAGGCAGGAGCUUUGAAAGACAGCGAAAGAAUAGAUUCAUUUUGGAUUGUACUCAGAAUGUUGUGUAAAUGAUGCAAGAAACUCAGAGAGAUGCCACAAACACCCUAUUAGGGAGAUACCAGUGACAGAAUGAGAGCUACUGCCCGAAACUGCUUGAGUUUUGACAGCAUUAUGUGAUGACAUCUGAGAUGUAAGUAGAUGCCAGGCAGCUAUAGUGUCUUUUGAUGAAGUCAUUUAUUGAUUUGACACUGACUUUUUCCCUUGUACCAGUGCAUGUACUCUCCUGUGACACAGAAUUGAGGUGAUCUCGGGAAAUUACAAGAAAAGCAGAAAUUGGGUAGACAAAAUGGAUGCUACUACCAAGGAAACUCUACUCAGUACUCUUAGAAGUAAAGGAUACUGUGAUGUGAGUCAGUCCUCACAACACAGCACUUCAAGGGAAAUGGAUAAAUGGUGGUUGGGCACAACGCACAGCUCUAAGUGCUGUGAGGAGGUGAUACCAUGUGGCAGAUUUACCUGGGAUUUUUGUGCUGGCAGAGAGACAGGGAAGGAAAUCUUUUUAUGAUCAAGCAGUAUAGCUCAAAGCAGCAUUGGUUUUAUGAAUGUGAAUGAUAAACAGUGGUGAAUCGGAGUACAGCUGAAUCCUAAACCAAGUGAUUGUGAUGGGGCAAAUUAUAGAGGAAUUUAUGCAAGGUUCUCUGUUGCUAUAGCUCAAAUGAUUCGUCUGUGCUGUUUUUUCCUCACCCUUUUCCAAGUUUAUUUUGUGUUGUAUAUCAUUCCUGUAAUUGUGUUCUUUGUUGUUUUUCUCCUGACAUGUUAAAUCCCACAACACAGUCUAGUCUUGAUGUUUUCCUUCUCUUUCAAAGAGUCCCAAGAGAGAGAAGCAGGGAAGGUAGAUGUAUUUGACUUUGGAAAAUGAGUUUAUGCCAGUUGCAAAGGAAAUAAAAUAUAUCAUAGGGGUCUGCUAAGGGGAGGGGAAUGAAAAUAUUGCUCGUUUGUGACAAAAGAUUGCCUUGAAGACUGCUUCAGCUUGAUCAGUCUGAAGUCCAUGUCUCACUGUUUCCAUUACAAAGGCUUUAAUGUUCCUGUUUCUUUUGGAAAAGGACUUCAUCUAUUUUGAAAUAAGUCCAAGGCUCCCCAAAUGUACUAUUUGCUUUCAGGCUGAAAACAUGAGACCUGUGCACUGGCGUCUCAUUCUAGAGGGGCUAGAAAAUAUUACGUGGUUUAGGUCAUGGGCCAGGAUAGUCAAGGAGUCAGCAUGUGAGCAUCUCCAUGGCAGCUGAGGAUCAUAGAAUCCACAGCCUUAUGCUGAUACAGUGAGCACUACUUCUGCAAGGACUUUGGGUAUGGAGAUAUUUCAGCACAGAACGGGGCCAUGGCUUCCUCAUGCUCUGGGCAAUGGAUGCAAGCAAUAUGCCUAGCAGACAGGAGAACAAGCUGUCAAGCUAUGCCUGGCACAGGGACCACAGGAUGGGUGAGGAACUGAAGCACUCUGCUGUGCAGGGUGUCUGUACUGUGGUGGGUCACUACAGGGCUGUAAUUAGAUAACGAAAUCUCAGCCAGAAUGAGUGAAAUCUGGUAGAUCUUUGUUUUACAUACCAUUUGUCUGGUUUGCAUGUAGGAGGCAGGACUUCAGGACCUGUAUUAUGAAGGCAGAAUACUAUUCGUAUGAUACCUUCUUGGUAUCAAGCCUGUAAGCCGAUACAGUUCAUUCCUUCAGAGGAUCCCAGUCCGGAUUUGUUCACUGGGGGUGAUCAUUACAGAGCCGUAGUACAUUAAUUCAAGUCCUUAGCAAACAGUGGCUCACUAUCCUCUGCAAGCCUCCCACGGCUUCCUAUUGUGAGAACAUAGCUUUCUGCUGUUUUUCCUUUAUCUGCUCCUGAGAUGUCCCUAAUCUCUUCUGAGCAUCAGCCCCCAUUUUUCUGUUCGCAGCAGAGAACUUUUUCGGUGCACACCUGUGGAGCUCAUUCCUAACCUGUCGUUUUCAUAGUAGCAGUUUUACCGGGUGUCAAAAUACAGCUACCAUCCUGAUACAUGCGUACAGAGGAAGAAAAUAAAUGCGCUCUCUGGAAAGAGAUGAUAUGAUCUCUAAAUUAGUGGCAGCCAUCCCUCAUAGUGUGUGGUAUGUUUUAAAGUUCAAGGUCAUUUUUUUUUUUUUUUUUCCCUUUCUUAGUAUGUGCAACUGUUAGCAUCAACUGCUGAUGCAUUUACCUUGGGCUUUUUUCUUUAGAAAUCUUACAGCCUUUUUGGAAAUUUCCACUCCUCCUCCACUCAGCUUUUAAAAGAAAUUUUUGUUUUUAUGAAAAGUGAAAGCAACUUUCAUGUAAGAUGAGCACAAGUGAGUUGCCAGAAGGUAAAUUCUCUGUGCUGUGAGCAGGCUUCUGUUUUACAUGGGAUAGCCACUGUGAAAUGCAACAACUCUGAACAACAGUUCGUGAGUCCAGAAAAAUACAAAUGAAGUGACAGCAGUGUUUACACUGCUAAGUCACUUAUAUGAGAAGAUACCUUAUUUUGAAGUGACUACUGUCCUCCUUUGUUAACUUGAAACCAUCUGGUUUUAAGCAUGUUUGACAGAAGGAUAGGGGCUACACAGAGACUGAAUCCUACCAGUUUUAUGACAAUCAGAAACAGGAAAGAGGCCAAAGUUCCUCCUGCCCUGGAGGAGAGCCUGCAGCAUGCACUCAAGAUACAUGCAAGGGUUGUCCAGCCAGCAGGGUGGACAUCUCUCACAAAGUGGCCUGGCAGCUGGCAGAUGUGCUCCUCAGCAUGUGUUCUGGGUUUCCUGCCACUAGCGAAGGAGGGAGGGAGCUGGAGGUGCUGCAGAUGAUGGCCAAAGGGAAGCACAAAGAACUCUGGAGGGAGCAGUCCUAGCCAAGAUGUUCUGGAGGGGGAGAACACAAAGCAGAAGGGAGCCAAUGUUGCUUGUGGCAUGACUUGUCUAAUUCAGGUACACUCUGAUCUGUCACCAGAUCCAGAGGUAUUUCAACAGUGAAGCAUUGCUUUACAGUUUAAGACUGCAACUAAAGGGGGGAAGACAGAAGUUCUGUUCUUCAGCUAGGAGGUGUGAACUUGAUGAACCGAUUGUAACAUCUGUGUCUCAUAUUCUUUCUCUCUGAGAAAAGGAUAGAAAUACAUGUGUGCUUCAGAGGGGAGCUGAGGUGCUUCAUCCGUUUGGAAAUGAUUUUUCUCCGUUAGGAGACAGAUGCUUUACCUUUUCCAUGAAAAGCUGUAAAUGUUUCAGAAACAAUUAAAGCAGCUUCCUGACAUCCUCUUGGGUGAGGAAAUAUGAUUGCUGUGGGAAAACUGAGGCAAAAAAUCUGUCAUGUGAAUAUUUUAUUUUAAUAGUUAAUGAACAGGGAAAAAGAAAGCAUUACUAUAAAACACAUGAGCAAGAUUGUGGAAAACUUUGGCAGAGAAAGGGACUGAGAUAAAUUCUGUCUUGAUUGACAUCUCCUGAAGGUCAAAGUAUCUACCCACUGUAUGAGGCAGUGUUAAAUUUGCUCAUGGUGUAUAUAUAUAAUCAGAAGACUUUGCCUCUUAGUAUACUUUAUUUCAGAAUGCGUGUACUGCGUAAGGCUGGCUGGUAGAGUAGAAGUAAAUAUUAUGAAAAGUGACUACAUAAAAAGAUAAGCCUUUGGUUUCACAUCAGCAAUAAUAUUAUUAUUUUUUACAUGAAAACCUCAAAUUAUUUUCUGAACAAUACCUAAUGGCCAGACAGUAUGCCACUUCAGGAGAUCUCCAAAGGUCUUGAUCAAAAUAUACCACACCAUUUUAGGGUGUUUGUGAAUAAUAGCAUUUCCUAUUUGGGGAUUUGGAAAUAAAGGCACAGAGAAAUUAAGUAGGUCACACACCAAAUGAGUGGCAAUUGAGGAAGAAAAACCAGAUGUCAUGACCUUUUCCUCUUUCUUUAACUCAGAAGAUCAGUAGUCUUGCAAGCCUGCACAUCUGUUUUCAGUUUAAGCUGAUUCUUGUUCUUGCAGGAUGUGUGAUGCUGCAGACGAUCCAGUUGUUUUGACUCCCUCAUCCCAAGAGCUAAGGCAUCAAAUCAGUUACUCUAGGUUAGUGUCAAUUCUCUGCUAGGACAAGCCUCCUUUUUCAAAGAAGGGCAACAAAGCUGUGAGGGGUCUGGAGCACAGGCCUUAUGAGGAGCAGCUGAAGGAGCUGGGAUUGUUCAAUCUGGAGAAGAAGCUCUGGGGAGACCUUAUUGUUCUCUGUAACUACCUGAAGGGAGGUUGUAGUGAGGUGGAGGUCAGCCUCUUCUCUCGUGUGACUAGUGAUAGGACUAGAGGGAAUGGCUUCAAGCUGAGCCAGGGAAGGUUCAGGCUGGACGUUAGGAAAUACUACUUCUCUGAAAGGGUGGUCAGGCACUGGAAUGGGCUGCCCAGGGAGGUAAUGGAGUCACUGACCCUGGAGGUGUUGAAGGAACGUUUGGAUGUUUUGUUGAGGGACAUGGUUUAGUGAGAGCUAUUGGUGAUGGGUGGAUGGUUGGACUGGGUGAUCCUGUGGGUCUUUUCCAACCUUGGUGAUUCUAUGAUUCUAUGAUCUCUAGUAGAUUACAGACUGAACACAUACCAAGUAGCAUUUUAAACUGUAUUCACAUUGUGGCAGAUUGUAACUAUGUGUAUACUUAAGUACCAGUAUAAAUUGAACAGUUAACUCUAAUACCUGCGGCAGUUGCUUUCCCCCACUAGACCUCUGUACAUUUAUAUCAUUGUAUAAAUGCUUCUGUAUGUCAAGCAUUCUAUGAAAGAAAAAGAGAAACUUCAGCUGGUAGGAGAUUAAAAAUUUAUGGUGAGAAAAGACAGGGCCACCCAUAAGUAUCAGGUAUACACUGACACUAAGUGAUUAUUUUAGAUUUGUUUGCAUGUUUGUUUUUAGCUCAAGCUUCGGAAAUUGACAAUGCCUUUAUUUAAUUCCACUGAACUCAAUGUGAGGUUUACCAUACAUUUAAGCUGAACUAUACCAGUACUGAAUAUUGUGAAAAUCUCACUCCUACACAUACCCACUUUCACUUUUGUGUUCUUGAAUCAGAUUUGGCAAGUAAAUGAACAGAAAUGGGCAUUAUUACAUAUCCCAGGAGAGCUAGUGCUUUCCAGAAUGCUGUCUGUAUUUCAGAAUUGCUGUGCUUUUAAUUGUCUUGCAGCCCAGUUUGUCUUUGAUGGGUUCUCUCUCAAUGGGUUCUCUCUCUGGCCUUGUAAAAUCCAUAAAUUUGUGAAGUAUACCAGACAAGAACCCUUUGCUCUUGCUUAUGCCAUUCCUAACUUGUGACACAAAUGGAAACAAGGCUAAUUCUGUAAGAUUCUCCUGAGAGGAAGAUAUGUGAGGACAACACUGUCUAGCCUUCUGAAGUCUUAGGCUUGUUUCUUGGAUUUAAUUCCUUAACUGUGUCACAAGUUUUGGACUGCUCGAUUCCUCUCCCUGGGCCAUGUACUCCAAUUCUGAAAUCAUCUAGAUUCUCUGUGUUAAAUGUCUAUGGUUUUCUUUGUCACUUAGAGUCUGAAUUGUCCCUUAUUUUGUAGAAGGGGAAUUCACUUCCUAGUGGUGUCAACAGCAGAAAUAUGUGAACUGUCCACUUCUGUUAUGGUCACGAUGAGGUCUAGAUUCACCACUAUAUCAGAAGGAGGCCUAAGAUGGAAAGUAUCUGACUACCAACUGCCCUUUACUCCUAAGAAAUAGGCAUUUGCAUUCUUUGUAUCCCGGAAAGGAGAAUCACCAUUCUGAAUGCCAUGCUUAUUCUCAGCAUGAUGUGUGUGAUGAAGAAGGCACUCAAAGAAAGAAUCAAAGCUAGGAUGACAUCAAAACAAAUGCUUCCAUUUUUAUUCUCCCUUCCAUGGUAGAUUAGUUACAACAGAAUGAAACACCAGAUAACUUGAAAAUAAAAGCCCGUGUGUGUAAGUAGACUAUGGCAGUUUAUUCUAAAAGUAAAUUCUUCUCUCACUUCUCAAACUACAGCUCCAACAACAUAAUCCCCUACUUUGCUUUCUUUGACACACCUUCUCAAAUUCGCUGGCCAGCCCAUAUGGUUGCUUUGAGAUUUUUGCUGUUCUGUGUCACUUGCUUGUCUUUCAGAGCUGUUAUAGAUAAUUGCUGGACCUAGUAUCUACUGAUAUGACAUUGUGCUUGGCAUGUGAUAUGAAGGGAUGUUACUUCAGUGCUCCAAACCCUUCAGUAGACUUUGAGAUAAAAAGUUCAAACAGUGUCCCAGCUGAGCACUCAACACACAUAGUGGUGAUAACCAUAGGAAAUGGGAAGAGGGAGCUUUUCAAGCAGGAGUCUAAGGAGACAACCUCAGUCUGGGUUCUCCUUUAAAUGGACAGUACCCUAUACAUCAAAAAAAGAAGGAAAGGAAAGAAAAGGAAAGGAAGGGGGAGAGAAGAGGAGAAAAGAAGAGAAACAGAAGGGAAGGAAAAGAAGAGAAAAGAAAAGAGAAAAGAAGAGAAAAAAGGAAGUGUGACUAAUCUUUUUUUCCUUCAUUUUAUAUGUUAUUUUAUCUUACAAUGACUUACCCUGUGUGGUGCUGUUCAGCAUGCAAACAUUGCAGAUGAAUACAAUCCCAAGCUCCAACAAACUGUUCCCUCAGCCAGAUAGUGCUGACUUCUGCCUCAGGACACAGUAGAACAGUCACAACACUGAAUUGCAUUCAUCUGGUGAAACUAUUGGGGAAAAUAAGAGUUCUAGAGAGUAAGUAGAUGAGUUCUCAAGUAGCAAUCAAAGUAAAAUGUGUGCAUAAAAGGAAUGUAGGACUCAAUUCCCAAGCAUGUAAUGUGGAAGCCAAUUUGUAAUCAAUGGCUUUCUUUUCACAUGUUCAGUGAGGAAAUACUUGUUUUCCCAGCUUUAUGAUCAUGAAGCAAGGUGGACUGUUGUUUGAAGCAUACUUUGUGCUAGUGACUUUUUCUCUAGUCUUGAGCAAGUUAGUAAUUUUGUGUGGUUUUUGAUAGCUGGAAACAGUGGUACUGAUUUCUGCCAUAAACAGCUUGUAAAAAUGUUGAUAUAUUAGGGGACCAGAACACAGUGAUCUGAGUAAUACAUUUGUCUGGUACAUUAGUAACAUCUCUGUGAGCUCUACUUGUUUUCUUUCCCAAAGAAAAUGUACUUGCAUACAAACAAAACUACACUUUCAACUUUUAUUUCAGUACAUGAACAUGAAGACAGAAGAAAGACAUGCAGUUGCAUGGUUGUGCUAAAUAUGUCCUCCAUUAUUUGUGACAAAAUUAGUUUUUGGACUCUACUGAUUAGAACAAGACACAGAGUUAUUACAGAAAAUAUCAGCCAUAGGAGAGAAACAUUCUCUGAGCUUUAUACCACACUUCCCAUUCUUUUGUCAGCUUACAUUAUAAAUAAAUAACAAAGCAAUUUGACACAUGCCCAUUGAUUAAAAAUAAAAGUUGUCAGAGUGAGAGGAGAAAGACAAAAAUAUGAAUUAUUAAUAACAAUAUUAAGCAAUGCAAAAAAGAUGCUUAACAUGCAGGAAAGUCUCUGAAAAGUCACUUAGUGAAGGGGAAGGAAAGGACAGCUACAGAGACCUUGCCUCCACUACUUUGUGGCCACUUCCUCACUACCUAGUCUAGCAACUUGAUCCUUGAAGGUCAGGGUGGCCAUACAAGAAGGAAGGGUGAUUCUGUUGAUUUCUGUUAUCCUGUUUACUUCACCUCUAUUGUUUCUAGCAUGCACUACCAGCAAGCAUGAAGACAUCAUGUAAGGUAUGGAGUAAAUUUAAAUCAAUCAUGUUCAUGAUUGAAUUGGCCAUUUUGUGUUUCUGAGCAAUCUUCUUGCCGGUGAGAUUUGAACAACAGAUUGAUAAAAUGGACACUUCUGUGGCAGAAGGGAGGCUAAUUUAAACUCUUUCUAAUUUGGUAUAUCACAGGUACCUGGGAUUUAGUAAAGGGAUAUUAAGGUGUGCAAAAAUAUCGUUACUGCUAGUUGUAGUCUGUGUUCUGUGUACAGUGUAUUGCCCCAGUUGAUGUGCCAAACACUAGCUGGAGUAAUUAUGCAUUUCUUUUCCCACCUUCUGUUGCUUAUUUUGGUUGCAGCUAUUUCAAUGUUUUCAUUUACCAGGACAGUUUGAAUGGCUACUGGGUAUACUGACCAUCCUAGCAAUAUUUAAUUUUCUAUCCAUGGAGAUCAGAUUUCUUUUUUUUCCACUGAAGAGGAAAGGAAGAAAAAGUAUACUUGCAAAGAGUAAGAAAGGUAAUGACACAACUUCUCUGAAAACUGUAGAAUCUCACUUAGUGACUGUCCUGCUUGCUGAAAAAUGACUGCUCUGAGCAGAUAAUAAAGCGUGCUAUCACAAUAGAAGAGCUACUCAGAAAGUUUUCCUGAUCACGUAGAACCAAAGGUCCUAUUGUGGUUAAAAUGAUGGCGUUUGUAGAGGAGCAUUGUAUAUUUCACUUCUUCACGUCCAGUCUGAAGAUUGCAUUAUGUGUAACUGGAGAGAUGAUAUCAUAAAGAAAAUGACUGCAGGAGUCAGGAGUAGUAAAGCUGCUAGUCUAUGCUUAUGAUGUUAAUGUUUUGAAUUAACAAACUGUUAAUGAAUUCACAACAUGAUAUCCUAUUUAUUGUGCUUUAACUCUGGAAAGCUCCCUUUUAUGCAUCUUUGGUUCAAGUAAGGGCUAAGCACUUGUAGCUUUUAUGGGUUUCAUUAAGAGUCAGAAAUGCUCAGAGCUUCUGAAACUGAGGUCAAAUGAUCUUCUCUCUGGCAUUUAGUUGCAUAUGGUGCGGGUACCUCCAUCUUAUCUCCUUAUUUCAACUUCAGUUGCAGUUAGCUGGAGAAUAGUACGUACUUAGAGGUGUGAUUAAAUUUAUCACAAUGAAAGGCAUCUGAAAUACUCUUGUGUAAGUGCCCACUUCUGUUCACAGACUGUAAAGUCUGGAUGAAGCAGUUAAAAAGUUAACCAAGAUUCUUCUGUGUGUGUGCCUUGAGCUGAGUAACUGAAAUCAGGGAGUUGUUCUAGAAAUGUUAGACUUGGCUUUUCUGGUUCUGUCUGUGAAAUGGAGGCACUACUUUGUUUUGUACACUGUGAGAAAAUCGCAGAAUUGCAGAAACAGUUUGGGCUGGAAAAGACUUUAAAGACCUUCCAGUUACAACCCACCUCCCACUAGACCAGGUCACCCAAAGCCUCAUCUAGUCUGGCUUUGAACACCUCCAGGGAUGAGGCAUCCACAGCUUCCCUAAGCAUCCUAUGCCAGUGCCUCUCAACCCUCUGAGUAAAUAUUUUUUUCCUAACAUCUUAUUUAAAUCUGCCCUUUUAUUUUAAAGCCAUUACCCCUUGUCCUAUCACUGUACUCUCUGUUAAAAGUAUCCCUCUACAGUUUCUUGUAGAACUACUUCAGGUACUGGAAGGAUGCAAGGAGGUCUCCCUAAGGCCUUCUCUUCUCCUGUCUGAACAAGCCCAGCCCCCUCACUUCACAGGAGAGGUGCUCCUGCCCUCUGAGCAUCUUCGUGGUCUCCUUUGGCCACUCUCCAACAGCUCCAUGCUGGGGGUCCUAGGGCAAGAUGCAGCACUGUAAGUGGAGCCUCAUGAGAGCAUAGUAGAGGGAAUCGCUUCCCUCUCCCUGCUAGCCACACUUCUUUUGGUGCAGCCCAGGAUACAGUUGGCUUUCUGGGCUGCAAGCACACACUGUCAGCUAAUAUCAAGCUUUUAAUCCACCAGUAUCCCUAGGUGCUUCUCUACAGGGCUAUUCUCAAUCCAUUGUUUCCCAGCCUGUAUUUGUGCUUGUGAUUGUCCCUACCCAGGAGCAGGACCUUGCACUUAGCCUUGCUGAACCUCAUAAGGCUCUCACAGGCCCACUGCAAGCCUACCGAGGUCUGUCUCGAUGGCAUUCCUUCCCUCCAUCAUCUCAAUUGCACCACUCAGCUUGCUGUCGUCUGCAGGCAUGCCGAGGGUGCACUCAGUUCCCCUGUUCAUGUCACCAACAAAGCUGCUAAACAGUACUGGUAAGAUAGACUUCUCUUAAUUAGUACACUGUGUAUAAGGGUAAGAGUUCUUGUUAACUCCUAGAUGGUUUGCAUUUACAUUUUGUGAGCUCUUUCUACUUUUACACGUAGUAUGAGUAAACAUUAGCACUGAAUGAUUGUGUCAGUUUGUCUCAGCAUGAGUACCAUACACUAUUGCUAAAUUUGGCUUUAUAUGAAUUAUUUGUCUCUCUUAAAUAAUUAGUACUUCUAAUCUACUAGAUCUGGUCCUUAGGGUUUUGGUGGACAUUAAUUUGUACAUUAAAAGACUGAUUUUAAGAUAACGUUAUUGGUUUGGAAAAGUUAUACAAACCAAUAUUUGCUUAGCAGAGCCCAAGCACAGAACAAACUGAAUGAAACAGAAUGGCUUCUGUGGCAGGAGUGAGGUGAUGGAGAAGGAAACAACUAUCCUUUAUCACAUGUACUCAGAACUGUAGCUGAAGUCAAAUAACGACAUGUAAAGAGAUACUAGCACGCUAUGCCUAGCUCUCCUGGGACUGGAAGGCAAUUGUUUCAUAAAUCUACUGGUACCAUAUUUAGCCUUAUUCUAAAAUCUUUUUCAAAUGUCUGCAAGGAAAUCUUCAGAUGUUUGAAGAAUUUUGUCCUCUGAUGAGGAGAUUCUUAAGAAAAUGAGUAGGCUUUAAAAUUAAGCAAAGAUUGUUAAGAGAACCUUUGAUAAGGAAUUUUAAGAAUCUGAGAGAAAGCACUUUAAUAAUACUGUUAGAGUAAUUUUCAUCAGUCUUACUACACCCAUGUGCAGUAUUUCUACUCUGUAAACUGGAGCAUAUUUAUUUAAAUGAUUUGCCAAAUAUCUUAUCAUGGGUAAGUGGCAAGCUGCAAAUGGAACCCAGGAGUCCUAAUUUGAUUUCUCGUUGAAUUCAAAGACAGUAUUCAAAGCCUCUGAAAGAAAAACACUCAAGAAUUCAACAGUAACACUGCGUGAGGAGUCUCCCAUUUCAAUAAAUGUGUGGUUAUGAUAUGCCAGUACUUCACUGACCAAGGUCCCUGAGGUUGCUUUCAAUCCAAACCCAUGUCUCCUUUGUGGGUGCACAUUGCACUACCAGAUCUUUCAGUGCUCUGAACCAAAAGUCUUGUUCUUAAUGGACAUACUGGGGAAAAUACAGCCAUCUAAAAACACCACCAUUGCCAGUGAAAAAAGCAAGUAUGGGUGAAAUAAAAUCUGUAGAUUCAUAUGAAGCAAGCUGCAGCUUGAAUGCUUCUAUCAGUGCUGGGUUUGUUUUGUUUUGUUUUGUUUUGUUUUAGAGAAGUGAAGAUCAGACAGCAGAGGAUAUUAUUUAUCUUAAAACUCUGUUCUAUCUAUUUGCCAUCUCUGUGAGAUCUUGAAUAAAUGUAGAUAAGUCUCAGUAUUUUUAAAUUUGUAUUUUGAAUUUGACAGCACACUGGCUGAGCUUUACAGAGAGGUAUUUCAGUGAGAGGUUUUUGAGAGAAGGCUCUUCCAGUCAGCUUGUCUUCCCAGUAUUUUUUGCAGUACGUGACGACAAAAGGUGAGAGCAAGAGCAAACAAUAACCAUCUUAGGAAAUCUUGGUAAACAUUUGAAAUCAGUAGGUUAAGUUGGCUGGUGUAAAAGUGUUGUGUAGAUCUAGUCCAUAAAAUCCAAUCUCAUAAUCUUGAAAGGAAAAUUCAAGAGUCAGGGAAAAUGCAGUUCAACUUGAUUUGCACAGUCAGGACUUUUGUUUGUGAACUUCUGUCAGGACUGAUCUCAGUAUUUAUAUAAAAUAUAAAACUGAUGUUCUUCCUUAGAAUUCCAGUUUCUGCCAGAGUCAGAAGAAAUAUUGUGUGUUACAGCCAGUUUACUUUGCAGAGAUAGAGUAUGAAUUUCCUCAGCCAAGACAUGGAGAGCAUAAAGAGGAAUUCUGCGAGCAGUUUCUCAUUAAUAUCUAAUUUUGUGUUUGUUUGGCCAGAAACAGAAGGAAUUUGAUUUUCUUACAUUUGUGCUGAAAAUAAGAAGGUCUGAAGAAUAGAUGGAGAGGUACAGCUUAAUACACAUGCACUAGCUGUCUGUACAGUAAGUACGCAGUGCUUUUGCUUAAACAUGGGUAUUUGGUACAACUUGAUACGCCUUCUGACCUCUUGCUGCUUUUCCCAGAAGCCAGGUAUCUCAGAAGUGGCCGGUCAUAUUUGCUAGCUGUGUCCAAAUAUGUUGAAGCUGUAAGGCUUUUGCAGUGGAACUUGAUAACUACGUUUAAGCAAAUGAUUUGAGCUCUAAAAAUAAAACUUUGCACAUUUGUAACCACCUCUGGCACAUAACUUAGUGAUGAUAAUGCUACCAUGGUUCAGGAGGAAUCCUUUUUCUAGCAGUUAUUAGAGGUGAGCAUACAGAUGAUAGAUGUAGACCAGAUGAUUUCAUUAAUGAUUACUUGAUUACACUGGUGAUCCUCUGGAAUUUUAGGUCAGCAUAUAGGCUGGGAUUUUUACCUAUAAAUAACCAUUCUGUGUGCAAUAUAUGCAGUGUGUGGGAUGGACAGUUAAGAAUAAUUAGUGUACAGUUUUAACUUAGCUGACACACUUAUGCUGAGUGAAUGAAUAUGACUUGAGUUCUCAGAUUGCCAUGCAUUCAUGCUUACUAUUAGUAGAAAAAAAAAUCUGUAAGUUAAAUUGUUGCAUUGUAACUUCUGUGUAACAGAUGUUUUUAAAAAGUGAGAAUUCAAGCCCAUGUUAUUGAAGUCUGUGCAAGUUAAGAAGAUGUAUUAAAUAUCUGCAGUUCAUUAAAUUCUCUAGCAUAAAGAAAAAAUACAUAUUAUCUGAAGUUACUCAAAGGAUUAUACUAUAUAUUUUAAAAUUCUAGGUAAUACGUAAUGCAUAUUGAUCUUGUCAUAAUUUUACAGGUGUCAUUAGUGGCAUUGUUUCUUUUUAGCUGAUAAUGCAAGGCUAUAUAUCAUGUCAGAUCAGUAAUUAUAUGAAGCCAUCAGUUUGGUUUUCUGAGCCCUUUUUUUAUUUUUGAAGAUACAAUCCUUAGUAGAAGCAAUGCUGUGAAGUAUGAAUCUUUUUCUUCUAUUUCCUGCAGUAGUACUCUUCUACAGCUAUUUUCUAUCAUGAAAAUAAGCAUAAUGACUUUCAGAAACUUUCUCCUCUGCCCUUAUUCCAGCAAACCUCCC